UGUAACUCCUGGGGAGAGGGGGGCGGAGAGGGGGAAAAUGCGGGAGAGAGUGAGAGAGCGGAGCAACUCGGGGCUCAAAACAGUCAAAUUCAAAUUAAAAGGUCAAGACACGAUUCAGGAAACGGAAUCUGGAGAAUAACUUGUCUUUCCGGUCGCCCCACAUUUUCUCCUGGACCGAGCCUCGGAUUUCGACUUUCCGAAGGGCUGGAGCCUGGCCGGCCAAGGACCUGAGCUCCGGGAGCCCUGGCGUGGAGGAGUGAAGAGGCUGGAUCGUUUCUAGGGAGGCCCAAGCCCGCGGCUGCUAGAAGGCGACUUCAGAAAGAAAUCCACCGAAUUCUCUCAUCCAGAGGGCGAGAGACAAGGCGCAGGGGUCCCUGAACCCCGGGAAAACUGGAAGAAAAUGUGUAAUGUGUGACUUGCUGGCGGAGGCAGCCAGGGGAGAUUUGAAAUGCUUUCGUGUUUUCAUUUGCAGGGGUCGCCGUGGGCUCGGCACAGGGGGUUGGCCAGGGCAAGGUUAGUCUGUUUAGGCCCCAGACGAGACUUGGGACAGCCCGGGCGGCAGUCAGUCCAGGGAGCCAUUUGUCCACCGCCCACCCCGCGGGAAACGCGGAGACUUUAUGGCCACUCUGUUUGUAUUAUCUGCAUAAGUCUUUCCCCACCAGUUUGAUCGAAACUGUUCGCUUUUACGAGGACCCAACGAAAAUUCCCCGUCAUAUUUAUCAGCCGAGGAUAAAAAUUUAGUAUGGGAACUGAUAUUUCCUCAUUUAUGGGGCGAUGAAAUUAAAGACCAAAGCAAUUGAGAAUUAUAUGGCUUUGGGGGGUUCCCUCCCCCCUCUUUCA